UACGUAGGGUGCAGGCGUUAAUCGGAAUUACUGGGCGUAAAGCGUGCGCAGGCGGUUUGCUAAGACAGGUGUGAAAUCCCCGGGCUUAACCUGGGAACUGCGCUUGUAACUGGCAAGCUAGAGUGUGGCAGAGGGGGGUGUAAUUCCAGGUGUAGCAGUGAAAUGCGUAGAGAUCUGGAGGAACACCGAUGGCGAAGGCAGCCCCCUGGGCUAACACUGACGCUCAUGCACGAAAGCGUGGGGAGCAAACAGG
rnacentral:rRNA from 1 species